AGGGCACCACCAGGUGUGGAGCAUGCGGCUUAAUUUGACUCAACACGGGGAAACUAACUCGGCCCGGACGCAGGAAGGAUUGACAGAUUAAGAGCUCUUUCUUGAUUCUGCGGGUUGUGGUGCAUGGCCGUUCUUCGAUGGUGGAGCGAUUUGUCUGGUUAAUUCCGAUAACGAUCGAGACUCUAGCCUACUAAAUAGACGCCCCGGUCCUACACGCCGGGCGGUCUUCUUAGAGGGACAAGCGGCGUCUAGCCGCGCGAGACGGAGCAAUAACAGGUCUGUGAUGCCCUUAGAUGUCCGGGGCCGCACGCGCGCUACACUGAAGUGAUCAGCGUGCAUUUUGAAACCUACUCUGUCAAGAGUGGGGAACCCAAUGAACCUUCUUCGUGAUUGGGAUAGGGGAUUGUAAUUAUUCCCCUUGAACGAGGAAUUCCCAGUAAGCGCGAAUCAUAAGUUUGCGCUGAUUACGUCCCUGCCCUUUGUACACACCGCCCGUCGCUACUACCGAUUGAAUGUUUU
rnacentral:rRNA from 1 species